rnacentral:rRNA from 1 species
UACGUAGGGUGCAAGCGUUAAUCGGAAUUACUGGGCGUAAAGCGUGCGCAGGCGGCUUUGCAAGACAGAUGUGAAAUCCCCGGGCUUAACCUGGGAACUGCAUUUGUGACUGCAUGGCUGGAGUGCGGCAGAGGGGGAUGGAAUUCCGCGUGUAGCAGUGAAAUGCGUAGAUAUGCGGAGGAACACCGAUGGCGAAGGCAAUCCCCUGGGCCUGCACUGACGCUCAUGCACGAAGCGUGGGAGCAAACAGG